rnacentral:rRNA from 1 species
GUAGGUGGUUUAUUAAGUGAAUAGUGAAAGCUAGCGGCUCAACCGUAUAGAUUAUUAUUCAAACUGGUAAACUCGAGAAUGGUAGAGGUAACUGGAAUUUCUUGUGUAGGAGUGAAAUCCGUAGAUAUAAGAAGGAACACCAAUGGCGUAGGCAGGUUACUGGACCAUUUCUGACACUAAGGCACGAAAGCGUGGGGAGCGAACCGGAUUAGAUACCCGGGUAGUCCACGCCGUAAACGAUGGAUACUAGCUGUUGGAGGUAUCGACCCCUUCAGUAGCGAAGCUAACGCGUUAAGUAUCCCGCCUGUGGAGUACGGCCGCAAGGCUAAAACAUAAAGGAAUUGACGGGGACCCGCACAAGCGGUGGAUCAUGUUCUUUAAUUCGAUGAUAAACGAAGAACCUUACCAGGGCUUGACAUCCUCAGAAGGACUACGAAAGUAGACUGUGCCUUUUGGAACUGAGUGACAGGUGCUGCAUGGCCGUCGUCAGCUCGUGUCGUGAGAUGUUUGGUUAAGUCCAUCAACGAGCGCAACCCUUAUUGUCUGUUGUAUUUUUCAGGCAAGACUGCCCCGGUAACGGGGAGGAAGGGGGGGAUGAUGUCAGGUCAGUAUUGCCCUUACGUCCUGGGCUAGAAACGUGAUACAAUGGCCGGUACAAUGCGCAGCGAAGCCGCGAGGUGAAGCAAAUCGCAUCAAAGCCGGUCCCAGUUCGGAUUGCAGGCUGAAACUCGCCUGCAUGAAGUCGGAAUCGCUAGUAACGGUAGGUCAGCUAUACUACCGUGAAUACGUUCCCGGGUCUUGUACACACCGCCCGUCAAACCAUGAAAGUCGGGGGUACCUGACGUGUGAGCAUCGCCUCGCCCUAAGGUAAACCAGAUGAUUGGGGUU